rfam:Schizosaccharomyces pombe chromosome II, complete replicon
CAUGUAUGAUGAUACUUAAUUUUCAGUUCUGCUUCUGAGAAAAGCUUGAAGACAACCUGAUACCAAGAAACUCUCUAUUAUCUGAUUG